rnacentral:tRNA from 1 species
GGGUUCCUAGCUCAGCUGGUUAGAGCGGCUGGUUUACACCCAGUAGGUCGGGGGUUCGAAUCCCUCGGGACCCA